UACGUAGGGGGCAAGCGUUGUCCGGAUUUAUUGGGCGUAAAGAGCGUGUAGGCGGUCAGGUAGGUCCGUUGUGAAAACUCGAGGCUCAACCUCGAGACGCCGAUGGAAACCAUCUGACUAGAGUCCGGAAGAGGAGAGUGGAAUUCCCAGUGUAGCAGUGAAAUGCGUAGAUAUGCGGAGGAACACCGAUGGCGAAGGCAGCCCCCUGGGCCAACACUGACGCUCAGGCACGAAAGCGUGGGGAGCAAACAGG
rnacentral:rRNA from 1 species